GAGCUCUAUGAAGAGUGGCUGGAACUUAGAAACGGUUGCCUCUGCUGUUCAGUGAAGGACAGUGGCCUUAGAGCUAUUGAGAAUUUGAUGCAAAAGAAGGGGAAAUUUGAUUACAUACUGUUAGAGACCACUGGAUUAGCAGACCCUGAGUGAUAAUUCACUAUUUAUGAUUGAAUGAUUAUCAUAUUAAAGAGGUAUCAUAACUAUUGUGGAUUCAAAAUAUGGAUUAAAAGUGAAAUACCACUAAAGGCAGAAAAGAAUGAAAUCAUCCCACCCACUGACCCGUUCCCAAUCUGAGCAUAUGGAUAGGGCCCAAAGCACAUUUAACAGAAGAGAAACCUGAUGGCCUUAUCAAUGAAGCUACUAGACAAGUUGCUUUGGCAGAUGCCAUUCUCAUUAAUAAAACAGACCUGGUUCCAGAAGAAGAUGUAAAGAAAUUAAGAACGACAAUUAGAUCCAUAAAUGGACUAGGACAAAUCUUAGAAACACAAAGAUCAAG
rnacentral:lncRNA from 10 species